rnacentral:rRNA from 1 species
GAGUUUGAUCCUGGCUCAGGACGAACGCUGGCGGCGUGCCUAAUACAUGCAAGUAGAACGCUGAAGUCUGGUGCUUGCACUAGACGGAUGAGUUGCGAACGGGUGAGUAACGCGUAGGUAACCUGCCUCAUAGCGGGGGAUAACUAUUGGAAACGAUAGCUAAUACCGCAUAACAGUAUUUACCGCAUGGUAGAUAUUUGAAAGGAGCAAUUGCUUCACUAUGAGAUGGACCUGCGUUGUAUUAGCUAGUUGGUGAGGUAACGGCUCACCAAGGCUUCGAUACAUAGCCGACCUGAGAGGGUGAUCGGCCACACUGGGACUGAGACACGGCCCAGACUCCUACGGGAGGCAGCAGUAGGGAAUCUUCGGCAAUGGGGGCAACCCUGACCGAACAACGCCGCGUGAGUGAAGAAGGUUUUCGGAUCGUAAAGCUCUGUUGUAAGAGAAGAACGUGUGUGAGAGUGGAAAGUUCACACAGUGACGGUAUCUUACCAGAAAGGGACGGCUAACUACGUGCCAGCAGCCGCGGUAAUACGUAGGUCCCGAGCGUUGUCCGGAUUUAUUGGGCGUAAAGCGAGUGCAGGCGGUUUGAUAAGUCUGAAGUAAAAGGCUGUGGCUUAACCAUAGUACGCUUUGGAAACUGUCAAACUUGAGUGCAGAAGGGGAGAGUG